rnacentral:rRNA from 1 species
UACGUAGGUGGCAAGCGUUGUCCGGAUUUACUGGGCGUAAAGAGCGCGCAGGCGGUCGUUCAAGUCGCGUGUGAAAGCCCCCGGCUCAACUGGGGAGGGUCACGCGAUACUGAUCGACUGGAAGGCAGGAGAGGGUAGUGGAAUUCCCGGUGUAGUGGUGAAAUGCGUAGAUAUCGGGAGGAACACCAGUGGCGAAGGCGACUACCUGGCCUGUUCUUGACGCUGAGGCGCGAAAGCUAGGGGAGCGAACUGG